GAUGAACGCUGGCGGCGUGCCUAAUACAUGCAAGUCGAGCGAACGGACGAGAAGCUUGCUUCUCUGAUGUUAGCGGAGGACGGGUGAGUAACACGUGGAUCAUCUCCCUAUCAGUCUGGGAUAACUUCGGGACACCGGCGAUAAUCCCGGAUGAUCUUUUGAACCGCAUGGUUCAAAAGUAAAAUACGGUCUUGCUGUCACUUAUAGAUGGAUCUGCGCUGCAUUAGCUAGUUGGUAAGGUAACGGCUUAGCACGGGAAGGAUGCAUAGCCGAGCUGUGAGGGGGAUCGGCCACACUGGAACUGAGACGCGGUCAAGAGUCCUGAGGGAGGCAGCAGUAGGGAAUGGGCCGCAAUGGGCGAAAGCCUGACGGAGCAACGCCGCGUGAGUUGUGAAGGUCCUCGGAGCGUAAUACUCGGUUAUUAGUUGAGAACAGAUGUGGAAGUAACUGUGCAGAGCGUGACGGUACCUAAUCAGAAAGCCACGGCUAACUACGUG
rnacentral:rRNA from 1 species